rnacentral:lncRNA from 1 species
UAUGAGAUAUUGACCACGAGGAUUUUACGGAGCAAUAUCUAUGAUUGAUGUGAUUGAUAUAUUUAUCUAUUACCAAAUAAUCAAAAACAUUUCAGACUCAGGUUAGAGAAGAAAAGCUGGAUGAUUGGAAGUGAUACUUUGUGAAGGACUAAAGCUGGAACAGGUGAAAGCUGGAGGGGCAUAGUGAAACUAAUCUUUAGUCUGUGAUGAGCUUCGUCGUUGUAUAAGUCGAUCUGUAUACUGGUUGCUAUGUUCCCUGUAUCUUCCACUUAGUGCCAUCAACAACAACGAUCCCAUGACCAGAGAAGUGUGUUAUUAUGCCUUUGUUAUACAGGCCUUUCAUUUGUAGUUAAUCACAA